GCAGCAAAGAAUCUUUUGUGAAUUCUGGUCUUCAGGAAAAUAUUACUGCUGAUGAAAACCCAGCAGGGAAAAUGAGAGAUGCAGAGGGCAAGAUCACAGGAAUCGAGAUGCAGAAAUACACACCUCUACUGCAUGAAACAAGUAGUCAAUCUGACUUACCAAAAAAACGUGGGAGAAAGAAGAAAAAUUUUACCAUACCAUGUUUACAUCCGGAUAAAAA